rnacentral:rRNA from 1 species
AUGGUGCCGCCGUCCACCGCACAGCGGCUCUGCUUCCUCUCUCUGCUCCUCCUCCUCCUCCUGGCCGCAGCCGCUUCUGCCACCGCAGAUGCUGCGGCGGCGGAGGAGUUCACGGAGGAGCUGCUCCUCCGGCCGCUCCCGGACCGCAAGGCGCUGGCCCAUUUCCACUUCCGCUCCUCCGCGCCUCCCGCUUCCGCCGCCGGCCGACACCACCACCUCUUCCCCAAGGCCAUCUCCCAGCUGGUCCAAAAAUUUCAUAUUAGUGAACUGGAGCUAUCUUUCACACAAGGAAGGUGGAAUUAUGAGCAAUGGGGCGGAUAUGAUCCAAUGUCAACAAAUAAUGCAAAGCCCCCUGGUGUUGAGCUGUGGGCAAUUUUCGACCUUCCUUUGGCCGAGAUUGAUGCCACAUGGAAGAACCUGACACACACAUUAUCGGGACUGUUUUGUGCAUCCAUCAACUUCUUAGAGUCUUCCACUGCAUUUUCUGCUCCUCGUUGGGGAUUUAAAUUGAAUGAAGGCAAUCUAAGAUAUGGGGCAUUGCCUCGGGAAGCUGUCUGCACAGAGAAUCUAACACCUUGGCUGAAACUUCUACCGUGUCGUGACAAAGCUGGGAUAGCUUCUUUGCUGUACAGGCCUUCAGUUUAUAAAGGAUAUUACCAUUCACAGAAGCUAAAAUUGAAAUCAUCACAAUCUCUUGGUAUUAUUCUUGAUCAAACACUCACAGUUGUGCUGCAACCAAAUACAGUUAGUGGUAAACAGCUACAUUCUACUGGUGGACAACUUCAGCCCAGCUGGUCCAUGGAACAUCUGUUCAGUAAGAAGUUAUCAGGGAAAUGUCUUGUUUCUAAAUCCAGCAGAGUUUUUGUAGAGAUUGAGAAAGGCAUAGUUGACAAUGUUCACAAAGCUGGGUCAGAUGUUUCAUGGAAUAAUGAUUUAUUUGUAUUGUCAACUGCCCCAGACAGGUCCCUCAAAGAAUUAGAUAACUUGGAAGUCCAAUCCUCUUCACUAUAUGAGUAUGAUGUUAACAACUACAACAAUGAUAAGCCUUUGAAUGUGGGCAUAACUUGGAAGCUUCCCUUGAUAUGGUCUUGCACCCGUGCGCCGUAUCAUGCAAGUAGAUUUCUUAUGGGUAGCGGAAAUGAAAGAGGCUCAAUUGCUAUGUCAUUUCUAUCCACUGGUCUAGAUAAGCAACUAGUGGACAGCUCAAAUGAUUGUUCGAUAAAGGCUGUAGUUUUCCAGGUUGUUCCAUGGUACGUUAAGGUCUACUAUCACAGCCUAGAAGUUUUCAUCGAUGGGAAUAGCAAGGCUAUAUCAGAAGUAGUUGACAAGAUACAUGUCACGCCAUCAGAAGACAAGCUUUUGCCUGGUACAAUGGAGAUGCUUCUUAAGUUUCCUUGCAGUAUGCAAUUGGCUACCCUUACUUUGGACUUCGACAAGGGGUUCCUACACAUAGAUGAAUACCCUCCUGAUGCUAAUCAAGGAUUUGAUAUUCCAUCAGCUUUGGUUAGCUUUCCUGAGUUCAACUCUAGCCGAAGUUACCCUGAAGCUGAUCCAUUGUUUGUAUCGCCUUUGCUAGAGAACUUCAAGGAAGAUGGUGUUGUGAAGUCGUACACAGAAGUGUUGCUUGUUCCAUUGACAACUCCUGAUUUUAGCAUGCCAUACAAUGUUAUCACCUUCACUUGCACUGUCUUAGCUCUUUAUUUUGGCUCACUACUUAAUGCUUUGAGACGAAGAAUUGGCGAGGAAGAGAGGGGAUUGAAGAAAGCAGAUAAGAGACGAGGUCUCAUUCCCCUAUUGAUAGCUAAGCUAAGGGGGCAGAAGGUUGAUCCGUCAGAAUCAGAAUCCACGUCUCCUGCAUCUCUGCUGAGGUCAAAGCUACUACUCAAAGUUGUGUUUGUCGCAGUAGUAGCUAUUGUGUUCCAUUAUUUGAACAGUUAG